rnacentral:rRNA from 1 species
AUACGGAGGAUCCGAGCGUUAUCCGGAUUUAUUGGGUUUAAAGGGUGCGCAGGCGGCCAUUUAAGUCAGCGGUUAAAUCGUGGGGCUCAACCCCAUUCUGCCGUUGAUACUGGGUGGCUUGAUUGCGGUCGAGGUUGGCGGAAUUCGUUGUGUAGCGGUGAAAUGCAUAGAUAUGACGAAGAACACCGAUUGCGUAGGCAGCUGACCAGACCGCAAAUGACGCUCAUGCACGAAAGUGCGGGGAUCGAACAGGAUUAGAUACCCUGGUAGUCCGCACAGUAAACGAUGAAUACUUGUUUUCGGCGAUAUAAUGUCGGAGGCGAAGCGAAAGCGAUAAGUAUUCCACCUGGGGAGUACGCCGGCAACGGUGAAACUCAAAGGAAUUGACGGGG